AGUGAACGCUGGCGGUAGGCCUAACACAUGCAAGUCGAACGGCAGCACAGUAAGAGCUUGCUCUUACGGGUGGCGAGUGGCGGACGGGUGAGGAAUACAUCGGAAUCUACUUUUUCGUGGGGGAUAACGUAGGGAAACUUACGCUAAUACCGCAUACGACCUACGGGUGAAAGCAGGGGAUCUUCGGACCUUGCGCGAUUGAAUGAGCCGAUGUCGGAUUAGCUAGUUGGCGGGGUAAAGGCCCACCAAGGCGACGAUCCGUAGCUGGUAUGAGAGGAUGAUCAGCCACACUGGAACUGAGACACGGUCCAGACUCCUACGGGAGGCAGCAGUGGGGAAUAUUGGACAAUGGGCGCAAGCCUGAUCCAGCCAUACCGCGUAGGUGAAGAAGGCCUUCGGGUUGUAAAGCCCUUUUGUUGGGAAAGAAAAGCAGCAGGUUAAUACCCCGCUGUUCUGACGGUACCCAAAGAAUAAGCACCGGCUAACUUCGUG
rnacentral:rRNA from 1 species